rnacentral:misc_RNA from 1 species
UAAUACUCGCUCAAACUAUACCUUGUGUAUAUGUUCUAAUAGAGCGGACCUGGCAGUCCCACUUGUUGCAAUAUACGGGUGGGUCUGCUGAAGCAAAGAGGUUGAUGUAUUGGACCCUCAUAUGGGCCGCAACUGGGUAGGCAUUCUAUGCUGAAUUCUUAGUUGUUGGCUUGGACCUAUGCAUCCGACCCUCAAACAGGAAACUUAACCUUUU